GCUUAAGGUCACACAGCUAUGACAAAGGUAGGACUCCUGUCCAUCAACCUUUCCAUCAACAGUACUCAUGCUGCUCUGCUCCCCAUCAGGUAUGACAAUCGGUGCAGGAACAUGAGCCAGGAGCAGGUGGCCCAGAAGCUGGCCAAGGACCCCAAGCCUGCAAUCCGCUUCCGCCUGGAGCAGGUGGCGCCGGCCUUCCAGGACCUGGUGUAUGGCUGGAAUAGGCAUGAAGUGGCCAGCGUGGAGGGAGACCCAGUCAUCAUGAAGAGCGACGGCUUCCCCACAUACCACCUGGCCUGCGUGGUGGACGACCACCACAUGGGCAUCAGCCACGUGCUGCGAGGCUCUGAGUGGCUCGUCUCCACUGCCAAGCACCUGCUCCUCUACCAGGCCCUGGGCUGGCAGCCACCCCACUUCGCCCACCUGCCUCUGCUCCUCAACAGGGAUGGCAGCAAGCUCUCCAAGAGGCAAGGGGACAUUUUCCUGGAGCACUUUGCUGCUGAUGGCUUCCUGCCCGAUUCCUUGUUGGACAUCAUCACCAACUGUGGCUCAGGUUUUGCAGAGAACCAAAUGGGCAGGA
rnacentral:sRNA from 1 species